UGCACAAAAUUAAAACGGGCAGCAAAUUUGAACCUAAGUGACAUGAAAUGGACCGAUAUCACCGGUCAGAAUCGAACCAGCGAUCUCAUCAGUAACAGUUAAGCAAGAAAUAACCCAAUCACUAAUCGCCAUCCACACCGUAUCGCCAUCCACUGUGACACACUCCACGACACUGCCAUAAUCCUUUGUCCCCUUUUUCAUUAGUGAGCCAGAAAUGUACUUGUUGGAUCUGCAUGAGAAAGGCACUUGUGGUCGACUGAUUUGUUUCGGUUCCUUGCUAUGCCUCAAGCACUUGGUUUAGACCAGUUUUAUUUUGUUGGACCAACCAGACCAGUCUUAAUACCAACACAUAGACCGUAUGAACAGGUUAUGGUUGGGCCAGCUGUUUUGGUUUUUAGUUCUUAACCAUAUUACCUUGAAAAGUAGGAGGCAACGACCAUAAGGUAAGAUGCUCAAACUGAACCGAAUCAAUUUUGAACUUUGGAAUUUGUUCAGCAAUAAUGGGCUUUGCAAUCUCCUU
rnacentral:lncRNA from 1 species